UUUUUAUGAACUAUAAACAAGGAUUAGAAUGAGUUCUCUACCGAUAGUCUAACCUCUACCCUCAACCUCCAGUCUCAUCGCCUCCUCCUUACCGGUACAUCGUGUCCUCUCAUCUCUAUCUUGUUGGUUCGUUGCGUCCUUACCCUGAUCAACAAGUCUUAUUUUCAGAUGGAGAUGCUUCAGCGGUAGUUACAGCACUUACUGAACUGGGCAAUGGAAAACCAAGGUUCUAUUCAACUCCUGAAAUAAUUGCUUUCUGCAGAAAAUGGCGCCUACCCACAAAUCAUGUGUGGCUGUUUUCAACAAGGUGAACAUUCAGGAUCUUUUUUCUUUUACAUUAAGAAAAUAAAUAGAGGAUGUGUAUUGCUUAGCAUAUCAUAAAUGACUUAAAUAUUAUAUUUCUUUCGAAUCCAGCUCUAGACUUUGGAGUGGAACUUUAAUUCUGGAUCAUUUCUACUUAAAUAUGUUUAAAUUGAACACCUUUUGUUUUUUUGAAUCCGUAGUUUUAUGUGUUAAUACGGUCUAUUAGGUGUAUGCUUAUUUUAUUUAGGAAGUUGCAGAGGUUUGUGACUUUAGCUGUGCUA